GGACAAUUUUAGACAAUUUUACGUAGGUGGGAGUCACCUAUGGCCAUUCAUGUAAACAUGAGCUUUUAGUGUUAUUUUGUAACUUUGAUAGUUAUACGGCUAUUAUCGACCUCAAUCAAUUUACCGAGCGAUUUACCGUAAGAUGGCCAUCAUAGUUUAGUUUCGAAUUGUCAACCGUAAGUUGAUUAAAUCAAAUAUUAAUGGAAGAUAGUACUUAGGUGGUGACUCCUAACUUAAAACUGAAUUUUUUAAUGUUCAUCGCGCGUAUAAGUAUAACUGGUAUCUAUAAUUUUGCCGCAAUUAUUUUUUUUAAAUGAGUAUUUUUAUAUUUUUACCUUUACCCAAUUUCGCAAAUGAAAAAAUAUUAACAUGUCCGAUUUGAGUUGUGUGCAUAACUGUUGGGAAAUAUUUUAGCGAAUAAUCGGUUUUAUAACUCAUCCGUGUGCAUUUCAACCCCUCAAAGUAAUAUGUAAAAUAAACAUAAAUUUCUCCAUAGCCACUCGCACAAUUUCUUAUGACCGGUUAAAUUAUGAUGUUAUAUUUUUUACUACAUUUUUUUUUUUUUUUUUACUAUUAUUAUUUAACUGUUCCGUCCUGUUAUAUAACCGUUAUAAUAUAAUAUUAUAUUAUAAUAUAUGUUAAUGUUAAUUACUUGUACGGAUUUUGCCAAAGCCUGUGAUAAUAAUUAUUGUUUACAGAUACGUUUAUAUAAAUUGAAUUUGUAUAAGUUUGUACCUAAUUUUUUUUUUUUUAUUUUUACGAUGUUAAUAACUAUAUAAUACGGAUACCUACCUACG